AAUUCACUUCUACCUUGCAAACCCCUUGCUAUACUUUGCAUAUAGGAUAGCUGCAACCAAUUUAAAUCAGAGCCUGUGUCACAAUUGUCAAUACUUAAACUAGUUCAUUGAGGUUUCAGCUUUCUGUCAGUAAGGUAAAAGAUGGUUUUCAGUCUGAGAAUAUUCUUUGGCCAUUGCUGGCCAUAGAUUCAUACUUCCAUGAAGGUCCUACAGACCAGUAAACUGCUGCUCCUCAACUCAAGCCUCCUAUCUGGAAUUGUAUACUACUGACAUGAUCAACAUUCAUUAGCACCGAGCUCAGAAAUUUAAGAGCAAAAGCACUUAAUGCGCUAGGAAAGUAGGCUGGAGGAUUACUAGAUACUAUGAUUUUCUUCAAGGAAAUCAUUGUAUCAAGCAGUAUCAUAGCAGAAACUUGAAUAAAUCUAGACUUACGAAGGCAUCUAACUCUAGGGACUGCAUUUGGUAUGUAUGAGACGGGGAUUUUGAUAGGUAAUUAUAUGGUUUUAGGUUCUCAAACAUAGAGCAGUGAAACCUUAGAAUCAUACUGGGUUUGUGGAAAUAACUUGUGCUGUGUUGCAGAUCUUCUUUGGCAUCUCUGAUCAUACCUCUAUAUCUCGUUACAAACACAGAAACAGAACCAACCUAGACAGCCAAGAGAAUGUCAAAUGAGACAAAGACACGCAAUAAAAGCAAACAAUCUAUUUCAAGAGAAAAUGGAAAAAGAAAACCUAAAUUUUCAAGGGAGACAUUCAUUAGUUGGAAGAGGUUCUUAUGAACAUUAAUCUUAUUUUUCGAAUAAGUUCGAGGUGACUUUCUAAUCUAAAUAUUGUGCCUGAUGUACCAACUGCGGGUGCUUGGAAGAACCAGUAACUUGUAGCGGCACCUACUUUUCUUUGACAGAGUGAAAAUACAAUAUACAUAACCAGUAAUCAAAUAUCAACCCACAGUUUCUAAAACUACAAUGAAACCAAAGCAAGAGCAUCCCUUGUGUUGCCAAUUGUGCAACAUAAAUUCUGAAUAUUAUAUAAUUUACUUUUCAUUUUAUACGGACAAUUCAAUCUUUUGUUGAAUGAACAUGUAAUUGUUUUCACAAGCGAAAACUUACAACACAUUAACAUCUAUAAGGGUGUUGGGCAAUUUCCUUGUGUUAAAUGAAUUUCUCCUGUAAGUAUCUAUCUUGGAUGAUCCACUAAAAC